CGCUUAACACAUGCAAGUCGAGGGGUAUAGGUUUUCGGACCUAGAGACCGGCGCACGGGUGCGUAACGCGUAUGCAAUCUACCUUUUACAGGGGGAUAGCCCAGAGAAAUUUGGAUUAAUACCCCAUAGUGUAAUUGAAUGGCAUCAUUUAAUUACUAAAGUUCCAACGGUAAAAGAUGAGCAUGCGUCCUAUUAGCUAGUUGGUGUGGUAACGGCAUACCAAGGCUACGAUAAGUAGGGGUCCUGAGAGGGAGAUCCCCCACACUGGUACUGAGACACGGACCAGACUCCUACGGGAGGCAGCAGUGAGGAAUAUUGGACAAUGGGCGCAAGCCUGAUCCAGCCAUGCCGCGUGCAGGAAGACGGUCCUAUGGAUUGUAAACUGC
rnacentral:rRNA from 1 species